rnacentral:rRNA from 3 species
GGCGUCCGAGUUGUAAUUUGUAGAGGAUGCUAUUGGGUUGCCACCGGUCUAAGUUCCUUGGAACAGGACGUCACAGAGGGUGAGAAUCCCGUAUGUGACCGGCCAGGCGCCUUCUGUAUAGCUCCUUCGACGAGUCGGGUUGUUUGGGAAUGCAGCCCUAAAUGGGAGGUAAAUUUCUUCUAAAGCUAAAUACCGGCCAGAGACCGAUAGCGCACAAGUAGAGUGAUCGAAAGAUGAAAAGCACUUUGGAAAGAGAGUUAAAAAGCACGUGAAAUUGUUGAAAGGGAAGCGCUUGCAAUCAGUCUCGACGGCGGCUGUUCGGCCUCUCUUCUGAGUGGUUUAUUCAGUCGCCGCCGGGCCAGCAUCAGUUUCGGCGGUCGGAUAAAGGCGUGGGGAAUGUAGCUCCUCCGGGAGUGUUAUAGCCCCGCGUGCAAUACGGCCCGCCGGGACUGAGGUCCGCGCUUCGGCUAGGAUGCUGGCGAAAUGGUUGUAAGCGGCCCGUCUUGAAACACGGACCAAGGAGUCUAACAUCUACGCGAGUGUUUGGGUGUCAAACCCGUGCGCGCAAUGAAAGUGAACGGAGGUGGGAACCGCAAGGUGCACCAUCGACCGAUCCUGAUGUCUUCGGAUGGAUUUGAGUAAGAGCGUAGCUGUUGGGACCCGAAAGAUGGUGAACUAUGCCUGAAUAGGGUGAAGCCAGAGGAAACUCUGGUGGAGGCUCGCAGCGGUUCUGACG